rnacentral:rRNA from 1 species
GACGAACGCUGGCGGCGUGCCUAAUACAUGCAAGUAGGACGCAGUUGCGAACGGGUGAGUAACGCGUAGGUAACUGCCUAUUAGAGGGGGAUAACUAUUGGAAACGAUAGCUAAUACCGCAUACUAGUAGAAUGACCUGCGUUUUAUUAGCUAGUAGGUAGGGUAAUGGCUUACCUAGGCGACGAUACAUAGCCGACCUGCGCGGGUUGUCGUCCAACGUGGGCCUGAGACACGGCCCAGACUCCUCCGGGAGGCUGCAGUAGGGAUUCUUCGGCAAUCGGGGGAACCUCGACCUAGCAACGCCGCGUGAGUGCAGAAGGUUUUCGGAUCGUAAAGCUCUGUUGUUACGGACGCGUUCCUUCCCCCGAAAGGGACGGCUAACUACGUGCCAGCAGCCGCGGUAAUAC